rnacentral:rRNA from 1 species
AACCAGCACCUCAAGUGGUCAGGAGGAUUAUUGGGCCUAAAGCAUCCGUAGCCGGCUCUGUAAGUUUUCGGUUAAAUCCAUGUGCUCAACGCAUAGGCUGCCGAAAAUACUGCAUAGCUAGGGAGUGGGAGAGGUAGACGGUACUCAGUAGGAAGGGGUAAAAUCCUUUGAUCUAUUGAUGACCACCUGUGGCGAAGGCGGUCUACCAGAACACGUUCGACGGUGAGGGAUGAAAGCUGGGGGAGCAAACCGG